UACGUAGGGUGCAAGCGUUUAAUCGGAAUUACUGGGCGUAAAGCGUGCGCAGGCGGUCCGUUAAGACAGAUGUGAAAUCCCCGGGCUUAACCUGGGAACUGCAUUUGUGACUGGCGGACUCGAGUAUGGCAGAGGGGGGGUAGAAUUCCACGUGUAGCAGUGAAAUGCGUAGAGAUGUGGAGGAAUACCGAUGGCGAAGGCAGCCCCCUGGGCCAAUACUGACGCUCAUGCA
rnacentral:rRNA from 1 species